rnacentral:rRNA from 1 species
UACGAAGGGGGCUAGCGUUGCUCGGAAUCACUGGGCGUAAAGCGCACGUAGGCGGAUUGUUAAGUCAGGGGUGAAAUCCUGGAGCUCAACUCCAGAACUGCCUUUGAUACUGGCGAUCUUGAGUCCGGGAGAGGUGAGUGGAACUGCGAGUGUAGAGGUGAAAUUCGUAGAUAUUCGCAAGAACACCAGUGGCGAAGGCGGCUCACUGGCCCGGUACUGACGCUGAGGUGCGAAAGCGUGGGGAGCAAACAGGAUAG